ensembl:lincRNA
GGCUCUUGAGCCACUCCUCCUCACGCGAGUCUGCCUCCCAGGCUACGAGCCGCCUCCCUGCAGCCCGAGGGCAAGUUUCAUCCAGAUCGCCAACCACCUUGCUUCGAGGGGAAGCACGGAGCGGCCGCUUGGCACCGCCUCUCCUCGUCCUCUCCUACCGUGAAAUCACUGGCCGUUCCCUCCUCACCUCCCCGUAGAAGGACAUCAGUGAAGAUAAUGAGCCCGCUGUGACAGAAUGGGGCAGAGUGCAAGGAAAGAAAGAGUAGAACCCGGGGUCAGGAAUACCGAUGACAUGUGACUGGACAUCCGAGAAGAGGACAUUAGAGAUACUCUCCAGGACACGGAAAGAAGGGGACAUUAGAGAUACUCUCCAGGACAUGGAAAGAAGAGGACAUUAGAGAUACUCUCCAGGACACAGAAAGAAGAGUCCUGGGACAAGUUCCCAUAACUGCUAGCAAUGGCUAAAAGAUUUGGGAAGGCAGAAUAUUUUUAAAUGAAAACUUAAGUUUAUAGUGAACUUACCCUUUCCUGCUGACUAGAGGGGUGGGCUCAUCAGAAGAACAGUUUGAGACAGAAGGACAGUCUACCAAGGGAAGUCACUUCAGCCUCGGGAUGGUUAGCCUUGUAAGCAGUUUAGAAUGGCAGCUACAGUAAGUAUCACAUUGGCAUUUGAGUUGAGGUUUCAAGAUUAUAAACCAAUCCUUUUUUCUUCCUUAUUCCGGCUCUUUGUCAUUUAAUUUAGAACAUCUUAGGUUUUUUUCUCAUCUAUGCCCAAUACAGUUAUUUUAAAAACGUUAUGAUAAUAGAAAUGACAGGAUGAUUGAGUGAAGCUGUGGAGAAAGGUGAAGUCUGUAGUCACAAGACAAGCAGCAUUUUUUAUCGAAACACUGGGAUGUGCUGUUUUCUUUGUGGAUAUUAGGUCCCUGACUAUUGUGAGAAUACUCAGGGUAUCUCUAAGUCUUCUGCAUGGGAAGUGAAUGGGCAUUUGAAGGUAGAAUAUCACCACAGUGGACAGUGAGAGUCUAGGGAGAAAUCAAGACUGCCCCAAAUAUGUUGGACUGAUUCUUAAUGGAGAAUACACUCAAGUGAAAAUUUCUGAGAUUCAUGAUUCACCAGGACUCCUAAGAACAAAACUGUUUAUUAGUAUUAUUUAAUUUUGCACAUGAGUAUUUUGGCUGAAUGUAGGUAAGUAUAGAUGUGCUUGUCUGGUGCCUACAGAGGUCCAAAGAGGGUGUCAGGCCCUCUGGAACUGAAGUUACAGAUAGUUAUGAACCAUAAUUCAGGAUCUGGGAACUGACCUGGAUCCUCUUCAAAAGCAACAAGUGGUUCUAACAGUUGAACCAUCUCUGUACCCCAUUUUUAAUUAUUAAAUUUGAAAAUUGUGUGAAAUAAAAAAAUAAACAUGCAAAUAGAGAGUAC